CAGACCAGGCCCGCAGUAGGAACGGCCGAACCGCCUGCGCCCCGGUGGCGCCCCGCGCGCCCCGAAUCCCUGCCUGCCUCCCUCACACGCGGGAGUUGCUGCGAAUGCUGACCACCAGCUGUGGGCCUCUGCCCUCUGCCUCGUUCUCCCAGAGUCUCUGUGCCGUUCCGUCUCCAGGGCUGGAGAGGUUAGACACUGAGCAACAGAUUGUAAAUUCAGGGACAAGAUUCUUCUUCUUCGCAACAAAGCCAGGAUUGUUCCAGGUGCCUCUGCCUGGAGACCUGUCUGGCUUGGGCAGUUAGAACAAGAGUUGGAGGACUAGGAAGGUUCUGAGAGGACAAACUAAGGAGUUCUCAGCAAGCACCUCUCAGAGCACAGGCUGGAGUAAACGGAGUCCACCCCCACGUGACCACCACGGAGUUCAGCACAGCCUGUAGCCAGCGGAGGGCAGGGCAGGGCAGGCUGCACUCUCCACCUACGCUGUUCCCAGGAACCCUGAGGCCUUCACUCACUGGUCAUCUAUCCUGUGACCCUGCCUCACAGUGGCUAAAGGCUUCCCUGAGGAGGUAACUGCCUUGCCCCUUGCUUUAAAAUCAUUUCCCAAAAUGGAGCCCAUGUGGGAAGAUCAGCUCUGCCAAAAACCUUGGGAAGGCUCCUUUAAGUUCCAGUAGACAAGGGAACGUCAACCAAAGCUCUCAGGGUGUUAUCUUCUUGGUUCUAGAUUGACUACAGUUCUUUACUUCUCUGCAAUGUGUAAGUGUGUCUACAUUCAUUCUCACCUCCCUUUAAUCAGAAUGUGGUCUAAUAAAGAACACUUCCAUGUUUUCAUUUGAUCUCUGAUACCCGAUAUCUUCAUUUAAUAAGCCUAUGUUUACAUACAAACUUCU
rnacentral:lncRNA from 1 species